GAAAGUUCCACUUUAUACUUAGUAAGAAUUUUUGUCUUAGAAUAUAUUUUGGAGAGAAUUAGAAUAGCCACUACAAGUCUCUUUUGGUUACCAUAUACACAGUAUAAUUUUUUACUAACCUUUUAUUUUCAACAUAUUUUUGACACUGAAUCUAAAUUGUACCACUUAUAAACAGCAUAUAUUGGAUUGUUUUUAUGUUUUCUGGCUAGUAUUGAACCCAGGGCUUUGUGUAUGCUAAAGUAAACACAGCCUUGAGCUACUGGAUCAUAUUUUUUAAAAUCCAUUUUGCAGGCUGGGGUUGUGGCUCAGAGGUAGAGCACUCGCCUAGCAUGCAUAAGGCACUGGUUCAAUCCUCAGCACCACAUAAAAAUAAAGGUACUAUGUCCACCUACAACCAGAAAAUAAACAAUUAAAAAAAAAUCUAUUCUGCCAGUCUCUCACUUUUGAUUGGAGUAUUAAAUCCAUUUAAUGUAAUUACUAUUAAGGAAGGAUUUAUAUCUGCCAUUUUACUGUUUCCUAUGUUUUAUACUUUUUUUGUCCACUAUACUCCAUGUCCACUAACAUAAUGUUCCAUGUUAACUCUUUUGUCACUUAUUUUCUUUAAUUUUUUUAGUUGUAGAUGGACACAAUAUCUUUUAUUUAUUUAUUUAUUUUUAUGUGGUGCUGAGCAUUGAACCCAGUGCCUCACAGGUGCAAGGCAGGCGCUCUACCACUGAGCUACAGCGCCAGCCAGUCAUUUAUUUUCCUUACAUGUACAUAUACUGAAUCAUUCCUUUUGUUUGUAAGGAUUAUAAUUAAUGUCUAAUAUAACAGUCUAGUUCAGAUUAAUGCCAACUUAAUAUCAACAAUGUACAAAACCUUGCUCACAUAUAGCUGUCCCCUCCCCCCUUCUGUGAUGUUGUCAUGCAAAUUACAUAAUCAUACAUUUGUGACCAACAGCACAGAUUCAUAAUGAUAGUUGUAUGCAGUUGUCUUUUAAAUCAGAAAGGAGGAAAAAAGAAUUAUAAAAAAGGGGCUGGCGUUGUGGCUCAGUGGUAGAAUGCUUGUCUAGCAUGCAUGAGACACUGGGUUUGAUUCUCAGCACCACAAAAAAUAUAAUAAAGAUAUUAUGUCCACCUAAAACUAAACAAUUUAAAAAAGCU
rnacentral:lncRNA from 1 species